rnacentral:rRNA from 1 species
UACGUAGGGGGCAAGCGUUGUCCGGAUUUAUUGGGCGUAAAGAGCGUGUAGGCGGUUAGGUAGGUCCGUUGUGAAAACUCGAGGCUCAACCUCGAGACGCCGAUGGAAACCAUCUAACUAGAGUCCGGAAGAGGAGAGUGGAAUUCCUGGUGUAGCGGUGAAAUGCGCAGAUAUCAGGAAGAACACCCGUGGCUAAGGCGGCUCUCUAGUACGGUACUGACGCUGAGGAGCGAAAGCGUGGGGAGCAAACAGG